rnacentral:rRNA from 1 species
GGCGGACGGGUGAGGAAUACAUCGGAAUCUACUCUGUCGUGGGGGAGUAACGUAGGGAAACUUACGCUAAUACCGCAUACGACCUACGGGUGAAGCAGGGAUCUUCGGACCUUGCGCGAUUGAAUGAGCCGAUGUCGGAUUAGCUAGUUGGCGGGGUAAAGGCCCACCAAGGCGACGAUCCGUAGCUGGUCUGAGAGGAUGAUCAGCCACACUGGAACUGAGACACGGUCCAGACUCCUACGGGAGGCAGCAGGC